GGUGACUGAUUUUAGUGUCAUUC
rnacentral:snRNA from 1 species